rnacentral:tRNA from 1 species
GAAGGUGGAGCUCAGGGGCAAAGCGUGUGCUUAGCAUGUGCAAGGUCCUGAGUUCAAUCCCCAGCACCUCCU